GACGUAGGGCGCGAGCGUUGUCCGGAUUUAUUGGGCGUAAAGAGCUCGUAGGCGGCUUGUCGCGUCGGCUGUGAAAACCCGCGGCUCAACUGUGGGCGGGCAGCUGAUACGGGCAGGCUGGAGUUCGGUAGGGGAGACUGGAAUUCCUGGUGUAGCGGUGAAAUGCGCAGAUAUCAGGAGGAACACCGGUGGCGAAGGCGGGUCUCUAGUACGGUACUGACGCUGAGACGCGAAAGCGUGGGGAGCGAACAGG
rnacentral:rRNA from 1 species